ACAGAAACUAAAACAGGAAGUACCGGUGCUAAGGUCCAUUCAGCACAAGUCUGACCAUUCGGAAUACAUGCUUCAAGACUGUUUUGAUCACGCGGACUGGGAUAUGUUCCGGGUUGCCUCGGAUAAUAACAUUGAUGUAUACACGGACACGGUGGCUGAGUUUAAAAGGAAGUGUAUAGGGGAUGUUGUUCCCACUGUGACUAUUAAAACCUACUCAAACCAGAAACCGUGGAUAGAUGGCAGCAUUUGUGCUAAACUGGAAGCGCGAAGCACCGCAUUUAACCAUGGCAAGGUGACUGGGAAUAUGGUUGAAUACAAACAGUGUAGUUAUUCCCUCCGUAAGGCAAUCAAACAGGCAAAACGUCAGUACAGAGACAAAGUGGAGUCGCAAUUCAACGGCUCAGACACAAGACGUAUCUGGCAGGGUCCACAGACAAUCACAGAUUACAAAGGGAACACCAGCCACGUCGCGGACACCGAUGUCUUGCUCCCAGACAAGCUAAACACCUUCUUUGCCCGCUUUGAGGAUAACACAGUGCCAUCGACACAGUCCGCUUCCAAGAACAGUGGGCUCCCCUUCGCCGUGGCUGACUCUGCUGUCCCCACUUGCUUCAAGAUGUCCACCAUUGUUCCUGUACACAAGAAAGCGAAGAUGAUGCAAUUGAACUGCAUGCUGCUGUAUCUCACCUGGACAAGAGGAAUACCUACAGUUGAAGUUGGAAGUUUACUAAGGUACCAAAAGGGGGUUGGCAUCAAUCAGAGAGGAGCUGUCAGUGGUGCAGAAGUUCCAGUCCUACACCCAAGAUGCCGACCAGAACUACGACUUUGCCAGCAACAGUGUCGUCCAGCAUCUUGAGCCCGGCGAUGAGAUCUACAUCAAGCUGGACCGGGGAUAAGGCAAGAAGUACAGCACCUUCUCCGGCUUCAUAGUCUACGCCGAUGAACAGAUCAUCUAUUUUACGCUAGGCUAUUCACUUCAUCUGCUAUAUUCUCUCGUUUAGAUUGGUUAACCCGCUGUCGUUUAGAAGACAGGUGGUUAAAGAGAAACUGGGGGACCUUGACACAGAAGUGAACCUUUAAAUUUACACUAUAAUGGAUGUUUAGUUUUACGAGUAAAAAUCUCCAAAUGAUGCAAUGUCCAAUAAAGAAAGUUGAACACGUGGAAACAAGGAAGGUGAUGAGUGAAUGUUUCAUGUGUAUAAGCCAAUAUUAAUGCAGGUUAAACAGGAAUGGUGUUAAUGCUUCAUUGCUGUUCAUGGCUUUUGUCAUUGGGUCAACUAAUCAAUUCAUUUCAAUUGGUCUUGUAAGGCAUCUCAGUUCAUGUUAGUCUAUAGAAUAUGGGAAUAAUACUCAGAGGUGAUUAAAACUCUACUGUAUGAA
rnacentral:lncRNA from 1 species